rnacentral:misc_RNA from 1 species
AAGUCGUAACAAGGUAUCCGUAGGUGAACCUGCGGAUGGAUCAUUAACACAUUCCAAAUGUUUAACUAAGCUUUCGUGAACUUUAAAGACGCUCGUCGUCUUCUUUUUUAUAAACCACUUUCUUAAACUGACUCAAUAACCAUUUUUUUGCGGUUGCGCAAGCAAACGUGAAGGAAGAUAUACGAAACCUAAGAACAA